CGUGGGUAACCUGCCCAAGAGAUCGGGAUAACACCUGGAAACAGAUGCUAAUACCGGAUAACAACAGAUGAUGCCUAUCAACUGUUUAAAAGAUGGUUCUGCUAUCACUCUUGGAUGGACCUGCGGUGCAUUAGCUAGUUGGUAGGGUAACGGCCUACCAAGGCGAUGAUGCAUAGCCGAGUUGAGAGACUGAUCGGCCACAUUGGGACUGAGACACGGCCCAAACUCCUACGGGAGCAGCAGGG
rnacentral:rRNA from 1 species